CGCGGCCUAUCAGCUUGUUGGCGAGGUAACGGCUCACCAAGGCAACGACGGGUAGCUGGUCUGAGAGGAUGGCCAGCCACAUUGGGACUGAGAUACGGCCCAGACUCCUACGGGAGGCAGCAGUGGGGAAUCUUGCGCAAUGGCCUAACGGCUGACGCAGCGACGCCGCGUGUAGGAUGAAGCUCUUCGGAGUGUAAACUACUGUUGCCCGGGACGAAUAGCUCGAUUAAUCGAGCCUGACAGUACCGGGUGAGGAAGCACUGGCUAACUCCGUGCCAGCAGCCGCGGUAAUACGGGGGGUGCGAGCGUUGUCCGGAAUCACUGGGCGUAAAGGGUGCGUAGGUGGUUUGAUAAGGGUGUGGUGAAAGUCCGGGGCUCAACCCCGGAUCUGCCGUGCCGACUGUCAAACUCGAGGACUGUAGAGGCAGACGGAAUUCCGGGUGUAGCGGUGGAAUGCGUAGAGAUCCGGAGGAAGACCGGUGGCGAAGGCGGUCUGCUGGGCAGUUUCUGACACUGAGGCGCGACAGCGUGGGGAGCAAACAGGAUUAGAUACCCUGGUAGUCCACGCCGUAAACGAUGGGUACUAGGUGCCUGGGGGAGCGACCCUCUGGGUGCCGGCGCUAACGCAGGAAGUACCCCGCCUGGGGAGUA
rnacentral:rRNA from 1 species